CAAAACACAAUGGCAGAUGUUCUAGACAGAUGGUGUAUCCAAUCACCUGCCAGGUAUUUUUUUAAGUGCCUGCCCUUUUCCAAACAGUUUCCAAUGAUGGUUUCUUAGAUGGUUCUGUGUAACGAAUCAUCUGGUGCAUCAUCAGUUUGCUGAUCUGCAUUUAGUUACUAAUCUGCAAAACGUUGUUGAAAUGAAGGUUCAGUUAAU